rnacentral:misc_RNA from 1 species
UUAAGUUCAGCGGGUAUCCUCGUCUGAUCUGAGGUCAAACUUCAAAAAAAGAUUUGUUCAGGCGGAAAACCCCAACCGGUCGCAGCUCAACAAUGUGGUAAUUUUACUAUGUUUCGCUGGACAAGAGGGUCCGCAGAGCGUGCAACUUUAAAGCCGGUUCCGAGCAAGUCGGGGCAACCAAGCCCAGCACCGGCAGGAAA